rnacentral:rRNA from 1 species
AAACAAGGAUUAGAUACCCUUCUAUUCAUGGGCCAAAUCACUUAAGGUAGUAGUUGAUAUAGACUUGAAACCUAAAGGAUAUGGCGGUGUUUAAUCUAAUCAAGGAACCUGUCCUAUAAACGAUAAUCCACGGUAGUUUUUAGUUUGUAUACCGUCGUCUAAACCUCUUUUGCAAAAGAGAAAUUAGUUAUAAGUAAGUCAGAUCUAGGCGCAGCUU